ACAUCGGUAGCGCAGUGGCUAGUGCAGUCUAUCGCAAACAGAAAGAUGCGGGUUCAAUUCCCGUCCGAUGUC
rnacentral:tRNA from 1 species